rnacentral:sRNA from 1 species
GCUGGUGUGGUGGUGCACACCUGUAAUCCCAGCAACUCAGGAGGCUGAGGCAGGAGGAUCACAAGUUCCAGGCCAGCCUCCGCAACUUAAUGAGCUCCUGUCUCAA